GUAGACGAUGGGGAUGCGUUCCAUUAGAUAGUAGGCGGGGUAACGGCCCACCUAGUCUUCGAUGGAUAGGGGUUCUGAGAGGAAGGUCCCCCACAUCGGAACUGAGACACGGUCCAAACUCCUACGGGAGGCAGCAGUGAGGAAUAUUGGUCAAUGGGCGAGAGCCUGAACCAGCCAAGUAGCGUGAAGGAUGACUGCCCUAUGGGUUGUAAACUUCUUUUAUAAAGGAAUAAAGUCGGGUAUGCAUACCCGUUUGCAUGUACUUUAUGAAUAAGGAUCGGCUAACUCCGUGCCAGCAGCCGCGGUAAUACGGAGGAUCCGAGCGUUAUCCGGAUUUAUUGGGUUUAAAGGGAGCGUAGAUGGAUGUUUAAGUCAGUUGUGAAAGUUUGCGGCUCAACCGUAAAAUUGCAGUUGAUACUGGAUAUCUUGAGUGCAGUUGAGGCAGGCGGAAUUCGUGGUGUAGCGGUGAAAUGCUUAGAUAUCACGAAGAACUCCGAUUGCGAAGGCAGCCUGCUAAGCUGCAACUGACAUUGAGGCUCGAAAGUGUGGGUAUCAAACAGGAUUAGAUACCCUGGUAGUCCACACGGUAAACGAUGAAUACUCGCUGUUUGCGAUAUAC
rnacentral:rRNA from 1 species